AUUGAACGCUGGCGGCAGGCCUAACACAUGCAAGUCGAGCGAGCGGCGGACGGGUGAGUAAUGUCUGGGAAACUGCCUGAUGGAGGGGGAUAACUACUGGAAACGGUAGCUAAUACCGCAUACCAUCGGAUGUACCCAGAUGGGAUUAGCUAGUAGGUGGGGUAACGGCUCACCUAGGCGACGAUCCCUAGCUGGUCUGAGAGGAUGACCAGCCACACUGGGACUGAGACACGGUCCAGACGCCUACGUGAGGCAGCAGGGGGGAAUAUUGCACAAUGGGCGCAAGCCUGAUGCAGCCAUGCCGCGUGUAUGAAGAAGGCCUUCGGGUUGUAAAGUACUUUCAGCGGGGAGGCGUUACCCGCAGAAGAAGCACCGGCUAACUCCGUGCCAGCAGCCGCGGUAAUAC
rnacentral:rRNA from 1 species